AUUUCUUGGUUAAGUUUCGCUAACCACUAAUCGUCUAGGCGUCGGUCCAUAAUCACGAAUUGUAGUGUAGAUAAUCUCCAAAUUGUUUCGGGGAGAUGGGAGAAUGCUAUGGGCCAAGUUUGUUAGCUCUAAUAUUUUCCUGCAUUAGACUAUGGUGCCUGUUUCCAACUUUGGGAUUAGCUAGGGUUUCUAUUGCAUUAUAUUUCUAGAGGAUUUGAGCAAGUAAUUGCUUUUCCUUAGGGUAACUCAAUCCGUUCAUCAUAAUGUUAUUAUUUUUGACAUUUAAAACACAAAGUACAUCUGCUAUGUCAACUUAUAUUUGCUCUUAAUAUAGUAGUCAUUGAUUCAUUAAAUAAUAUUUCAAAGCCAAACCUUGUGCAAAGAUUUCACUAUCAAAACUUAAUAGUAGUCAUUGACACAACAAGUAAUCUUCCAUGUAGGAUCCUCACACGAGUAAAUUCAAGAACUUGCUUGUUAGUUGUUGGUAUGCCACACGCCUUAGCUUAUGAGAAUAACUGCUUCCUUUCACAUAAUAAAUAAUAUAACUUGUACUAGUUUCUAGUGCUCUAAUCAAUGUCCAAUCCUAAUAGAGCAUCAACCAAGGAUAUUUAAGGACAAUGUUUUGAUGCUAAGUAUAAUUGCCCCUUCAAAAAUUUUAUCUUUGCUUGACAUUCAUUACAUAGAAAAUAGAUCAAUAUUAAAUAAAAAAGUGCCUUCAUUAGUAUAAAUGAAACUUAUAUGUUACAUGAAUAAUGUAAAUUUACUUGCAACCACGUGACUGGUUGCAAAGCACAUAUACUAAGGCAUAAGACCAAAUAACUAUUUCCCUUGUUUUGUCAUUUUACUUGCAACUGCAUGAUUGGCUGCAAAGCCACGUACUAUUUCCCUUGUCUUGUCUUGUCCUGUCCUGUUCAUGGUGCCAAAUGCAGCCUUAAGGAAUGCAUUAAGAGUUGUCAUCCUUCUUUGCUCUGGAAACUUAUAAGGUUGAAUAAAGAGUCCUCUUGCCUUUCUGAAGAGAACAAAACUAAAAGGGAAAAAGGGGAAAUGUAAUAUAUAUAUGACCAAUUCAAAUCUUUGAAAGGAAAAAAGAGAUCCAACUCUAACUUUAUACCCAUGGAUUUAAAUAGCAGUCAUGUGCUUGUACUGCUGUGGAUUUUAUGAUGCAUUCUUUGUUAUCUGCAUUGUUGAACAAUAAUGAUUGUUGUUCUGUAAAAAAAAUUAUUUGGAAGGCUUUGAACAACCUUAAUAUUGUAAUAGUAACAUAUCUUCAUUUGCCCUUUUUUGAAGGAACUGAUGAGUGAUAGGUAAUAUUUGGUUAUGUAUCUUGGAUUAUUUUUCCCUUGAUGGGAAAGCAACAGAGGGCUAAUUCCAAGUUGCUUGGUCCAUUGUUUGGCUUUUUGGUGCAUAUUAUUUUUGAAUGAGUAAGGGGAAAUUGAAAAUUAUUUUUGAAUAAUGUUGACUUUGAGAUGCUGAGGGAGUGGUUAUUAACCAAAUAGCUUGUUGGCACUUGGCACCUAUUCAUUCAAUAAUUUAGAGGGUAUUUGAGAUUUGCUUUCCAUGGGGUUUGGUGGUCCUUUAACAUGUGAUUUGAUCCUUCUCUAUUAGUUUUUUAAUUGUAUGCUUUAAGAUUAUGGCACUCCCCUAUUUUGAUUGUGCAUCAAUUUCCAAUUUGUAGUUUUUCUAGAGGUUGAGCUUUUGGGUAAUGGUAUGAUCACCUGAUUAUAUACUGGAGGUAGUGGGUUAAAUCAAGGAAUAGCUCCUUGUGUGGAAGGUGAGGGCUGUGUUUAUCUAACCCUUCCCAGAGCCUGCAAAUUCUUCAUGCUUUUGUACACCUAGAUUUGUGAUCUACUUAUCUAAAAUGAUUAAACAACUAUUUGUUUUUCAGUGGAUAGUUCGGUAUGUAUGCCAUUUGUAGCAUGCAAUCUCUUCUUCUUCUUCUGUUUCUUUCUUUUCCCUUUUUCUUUUGGUUACUUUAAUGGGAGGCAUUGCCAUAUAUAACUAGCUUUUAAAUAGUAACUGUUGGUGUUUUUUUGUCUGAAUAUGGUUAUGCUUGUAUUACGGAGGGCCAUUUCAAUUUGUUCAGUCCUUGUGAAGAGUGAAUGCAUGCAAACAGAAAUGUAAGAAAAAUAUGAUAAUCAUGACUAUAUAUGCAUGCAACAAGUCAUAUGCAUGCAACAAGUUUAUGUAAAACAGCAUGUACAAGCAAGAUUGCUCGAGUGAUGUUGCACAUGUG
rnacentral:lncRNA from 1 species